AGCUCAGUUGGUAGAGUGCUUGCCUUGCAUGCAUGAGGCCCUGGGUUCAAUCCCCAG
rnacentral:tRNA from 1 species